GAUAUUUUUCUCUUAUUUUGUGUUUUGCCUCUUUUUUAUGUUGCACUUAUAGAAACAUAGACAAGAGAAUGGGAUAUUAAAGAAAUAGCCAGAUAAAUAGAUAAUGAUUCAAAAGAAGACACUUAAACAUGAAAAAAAGAAAGCGGAUAUAAUGUAGAUAGAUUUUGGUUAAUUCUGGUUCACAUUCAGCUGAUAGAUAGGUAGACAGACAGCCUUUCCUCCUUAAAAUACCAUCUUAAGUAGUCAUGUAGCUAGCAUUCCUUACAUUUCAGACAGGAGUAAUUAAUUAGCUAUGAUUUUUACAAUCCCUGUCUCUGAAUGUAAGAAAAAGUGAUUUUAUAUAUCACUUUAUAGAUCAAAGUCUUUACAUCCAAAUAAAAAUAUAUAUAAAAUCAGCUAACUGUUAGAUAUGCAGUAAUAUUAUAUUUAGCUGUUCUGUUAUUAGAAGUUAGCAGUUAAGCAUAAUAAAACUAAAGGCUAGAUUACUAAACAAAGAUUCAGAUAAAACUGGGUGCUUUCCAACGGAAGCCCGUUCCUGACACCUAAAAUAAAAAAAGAAAAUCCAGCACAUUAUUUUGAGGAAAGUAAGUAAAUAUUUAGUCCUUAUUUUAAAAUACAAAGUCAUUUUGAGAUACUAAGUUAUCAUUUUGAGAUAGCAAGUCUAUCACAGAAUAAUGAGAUAGUAUCUGAAAAUAAUGGUAUACAGGGGUUGGAUAAUGAAACUGAAACACCUGGUUUUAGACCACAAUAAUUUAUUGUCCUGACGGACAGUUCUGGUGGAACUAGGAGAGUUGAGGUACACGUUGAAUUCUGCCGUGAUUUAGGCAGACGUGGUUUUAUGUUUUUUGAAUACAAUCCGGUUUAGCCGCUCGAACAUCCCUUUCAGACAGCUUCCUCUUGCGUCCACAGUUAAUCCUGUUGGAUGUGGUUGGUACUUCUUGGUGGUACGCUGACAUUACCCUGGAUACUGUGGCUCUUGAUACAUCACAAAGACUCGCAGUUUUGUUCACAGAUGCGCCAGCAAGACGUGCACCAACAAUUUGUCCUCUUUUGAACUCUGGUAUGUCACCCAUAAUGUUGUGUCCAUUGCAGUAUUUUGAGUAAAACUGUUCUCUUACCCUGCUAAUUGAACCUUCACACUCUGCUCUUACUGGUGCAAUGUGCAAUUAAUGAAGAUUGGCCACCAGGCUGCUCCAAUUUAGCUGUGAAACCUCCCACACUAAAAUGACAGGUGUUUCACGUUCAUUGUCCAACUUCUGUAGUAUCUAAAAAAUGACUUAAUAUCUCAAAAUAAUGAGAUAGUAUCUCAAUAAUGACUUAGUAUCUCAAACAGAGGCAACUUUUUUUAGGUGGCAGAAAUGGGCUUCCAUACCUUCCUGCAUCAGAAUCAUAUAAGAGUAAUCAGCAUUUCUUACAUUUCAGACCCAGAAUGCAGUGUUCCAAUUCAGACAUUCGAAAAUGGACAGCAUACUCAGAUGUGCCUUAAACCUUUAGGGAUAUAGGAAGUCAUGUCAGUCACAGAUGCUUUUGCUUUGCUUCCUUUUUAAGGCACCAGCAGUCAAGCAGAAUUUCUCCCACCCUGUAAUCCCCACCAGCUCCACUGGAGGAUAUUUACAGAGAGUGCGCCUGCAUGUCCUCGAAACCCAUCAAUGAGUGACCCACACAGCAGCUGGGAACCUCCCCUACCAUGACUGUGACCCUGUUCACCCAGUGCUAGAGAAGCAGUCAGAAAGUAGGGAUGGGUAGGUCGACACUUGAAUAUUUCCUGUUAUGAAAACAGAUAUCCAUAUAAAUGUGUAUGAAUCAUA